rnacentral:rRNA from 1 species
ACGGAGGGUGCGAGCGUUAUCCGGAAUCACUGGGUUUAAAGGGUGCGUAGGCUGUUAGAUAAGUCAGUGGUGAAAUAUUUUCGCAUAACGAAGAAACUGCCAUUGAUACUGUUUAGCUAGAAUUGGGAUGAGGUAACUGGAAUGUGACAUGUAGCGGUGAAAUGCAUAGAGAUGUCAUAGAAUACCGAUUGCGAAGGCAGGUUACUGGCCCUUGAUUGACGCUGAGGCACGAAAGCGUGGGUAGCGAACAGGAUUAGAUACCCUGGUAGUCCACGCCCUAAACGAUGUUUACUCGCUGUUGGGUUUUAGGAUUCAGUGGCUAAGGGAAACCGAUAAGUAAACCACCUGGGGAGUACGCCGGCAACGGUG